AUCAAUUUCAAUAAGGAUGACGAAGUUUUUAAGCCAUGUUAUUUGUUUUUUCCUCGUUUUUUCAGUUUUGACAAUCACUCAGAUAAAUGCUCAAUGUGAUGUACAAUUGCAUGAACCGCCAUGUCUUGCUGCUGAAUGUGAAAAAGAAUGUAGACAAAAAUACGAUGGAGCUGGAAAUUGCAUUGGUAGUGUUGAAACUGGCCCAUGUGUCUGUUUCUACCCAUGCAACUCCAAUUAAUUAUAUUAUACACCCUUUUAAUGUACCUAUGAUCAAACGCAAAUAUUACUGUUUUAAUUAAGAAUUGAGUAUCAAUAAAUAUUAUAUUCUAUGA